rnacentral:rRNA from 1 species
GAUGAACGCUGGCGGCGUGCUUAACACAUGCAAGUCGAACGGAAAGGCUCCUGCUUGUAGGGGUACUCGAGUGGCGAACGGGUGAGUAACACGUGGGUGAUCUGCCCUGCACUUCGGGAUAAGCCUGGGAAACUGGGUCUAAUACCGGAUAGGACGAUGGUUUGGAUGCCAUUGUGGAAAGUUUUUCGGUGUGGGAUGAGCUCGCGGCCUAUCAGCUUGUUGGUGGGGUAAUGGCCUACCAAGGCGUCGACGGGUAGCCGGCCUGAGAGGGUGUACGGCCACAUUGGGACUGAGAUACGGCCCAGACUCCUACGGGAGGCAGCAGUGGGGAAUAUUGCACAAUGGGCGGAAGCCUGAUGCAGCGACGCCGGGUGGGGGAUGACGGCCUUCGGGUGGUAAACUCCUUUCGCUAGGGACGAAGCGCAAGUGACGGUACCUGGAAAAGAAGCACCGGCUAACUACGU